AUUGAACGCUGGCGGCAUGCUUUACACAUGCAAGUCGAACGGCAGCGCGGGCUUCGGCCUGGCGGCGAGUGGCGAACGGGUGAGUAAUGCAUCGGAACGUGCCCAGUAGUGGGGGAUAGCCCGGCGAAAGCCGGAUUAAUACCGCAUACGACCUGAGGGUGAAAGCGGGGGACCGAAAGGCCUCGCGCUAUUGGAGCGGCCGAUGUCGGAUUAGCUAGUUGGUGGGGUAAAGGCUUACCAAGGCGACGAUCCGUAGCUGGUCUGAGAGGACGACCAGCCACCCGGGGACUGAGACCCGGCCCAGCCCCCGACGGGGGGCACGAGGGGGGAAUUUGGGAAAAUGGGGGCAACCCUGACCCAGCCAUGCCGCGGGGGGGAAGAAGGCCUUCGGGUUGUAAACCGCUUUUUUUGGGGAAAAAAUCCUCUGGGCUAAUACCCCGGGGGGAUGACGGUACCGGAAAAAAAAACCCCGGCAAACUCCGU
rnacentral:rRNA from 1 species